AGUUUUCGAUUGAAUCAUUCAUCGAUAAAUUGUAUAGCAAUGUUGUUCGUAAUCCUGCCCUCCACGGACGGAUCCGUAUAGCCCGUAUUACUUUGCGAUGAGGCUUCCAUAGCGUCGGGUAGGUGAACGAUAAAUAGGCGGUGUGUGCGCACGAAUUGAUUACGUCGCAAGGCUAAAGUACUAGAGCUUCACCAUUAAUUCAGACUCGUUUGCUUCGAUAUGAUUUUAGUUAGUGCCUCUCCUAUUGUUCGAAAUGUGUUCCAUUAUUUAACUCUGUGUGUUGAUCAUUUUUUCUGAAUUCGCUUUGUCUGCAAUUGAGCUGUCUUCUGUUUCACCAGAUUUCACCAUCGCGCCAACAUGCCAAGUUUACAUAACUACGCACUAUGUGCAGUACAUUUGGCAUGUUGCAUUUAAAAAUUGGCUUUUGACUGACUGAUCCCUAUAAGGAGGGUACUGGUUUUGUAGCAUUGAAUUCAAUUCAGUUCAAAUUUGAUUGCUUAACCAUGACUAAUGAAUAGCCAAGGACAAAUCCUCGUUUAAAUAUAUAAAAAAACAGUAUGCUAAUUUAACUAAUUUAAAUCUUCAGUUUCAGAGCCAUCUAAAGUUCUUUCAAGUGCAAAGAAGGCUGAAAAAAUUGGAGUGAAUUUAAUCGGAUAAAUGUCGUUUUCAGUAGGCGGCGCAUUUGCUUCAAAUUUACAUAAAGGUAUACGUUGCCUGCCACCGCGUAGCAGGCCCUGCUGGUGGAUCAAGUCUCGUUAUGUUAUCAACAUUUGAUGUGAAUUUGAUCGUCAUCUGAUUGGAGGGAGAGGUUACUGCCAUUGGUGUGUCGCUUCCGUUUAAACUUGAUUGGAUUAAAUUGGCCAAUUCAUCGAAUACCUGCACAAAUGCAUCAGACUUGUAAAACUGCCCACAGGCGCAUUGAUUGUGUAUAGGCAAUUCAAAUUCGAAUCGUAUGGCUCCGGGAAAUGUGGAGAUUCUAUCGUACCGCCGUCGUCCGUUACAUUUUUGCAGGAGCCACAAUUGACUUUAUAAAAAAUUUUUAAAUAAAUUCAGGGGACGAUGGGAGUAUCCAUUUUCGCCAGAAAAGCCCCCAGUUUGAGUUGCGCUCUUUCCUUUUCGGAUUGGAGUGCCAACAAUGGGAAAGAAAUCAGAUGGAAAAAUAGCAACUG